rnacentral:rRNA from 1 species
GAACGCUGGCGGCAGGCUUAACACAUGCAAGUCGAACGGUAACAGAGAAUAGCUUGCUAUUUUGCUGACGAGUGGCGGACGGGUGAGUAAUGCUUGGGUAUAUGCCAAUAGGUGGGGGACAACAGUUGGAAACGACUGCUAAUACCGCAUAAUCUCUUCGGAGCAAAGCAGGGGACCUUCGGGCCUUGCGCCUAUUGAUUAGCCCAAGUGGGAUUAGCUAGUUGGUAAGGUAAUGGCUUACCAAGGCGACGAUCCCUAGCUGGUCUUAGAGGAUGACCAGCCACACUGGAACUGAGACACGGUCCAGACUCCUACGGGAGGCAGCAGUGGGGAAUAUUGCACAAUGGAGGAAACUCUGAUGCAGCCAUGCCGCGUGUGUGAAGAAGGCUUUCGGGUUGUAAAGCACUUUCAGCGAGGAGGAAAGGGCGUAGGUUAAUAACUUGCGUCUGUGACGUUACUCGCAGAAGAAGCACCGGCUAACUCCGUG